UAGGGAAUCUUCGGCAAUGGACGAAAGUCUGACCGAGCAACGCCGCGUGAGUGAAGAAGGUUUUCGGAUCGUAAAACUCUGUUGUUAGAGAAGAACAAGGACGUUAGUAACUGAACGUCCCCUGACGGUAUCUAACCAGAAAGCCACGGCUAACUACUUGCCAGCAGCCGCGGUAAUACGUAGGUGGCAAGCGUUGUCCGGAUUUAUUGGGCGUAAAGCGAGCGCAGGCGGUUUCUUAAGUCUGAUGUGAAAGCCCCCGGCUCAACCGGGGAGGGUCAUUGGAAACUGGGAGACUUGAGUGCAGAAGAGGAGAGUGGAAUUCCAUGUGUAGCGGUGAAAUGCGUAGAUAUAUGGAGGAACACCAGUGGCGAAGGCGGCUCUCUGGUCUGUAACUGACGCUGAGGCUCGAAAGCGUGGGGAGCAAACAGG
rnacentral:rRNA from 2 species